rnacentral:piRNA from 1 species
UCAUUUACUCUGGACCACAAAGCUAA